rnacentral:rRNA from 1 species
AGGGAAAGAUUUAUCGCCGAAAGAUCGGCCCGCGUAAGAUUAGCUAGUUGGUGAGGUAAUGGCUCACCAAGGCUACGAUCUUUAGCUGGUCUGAGAGGAUGAUCAGCCACACUGGGACUGAGACACGGCCCAGACUCCUACGGGAGGCAGCAGUGGGGAGUAUUGGACAAUGGGCGCAAGCCUGAUCCAGCCAUGCCGCGUGAGUGAUGAAGGCCUUAGGGUUGUAAAGCUCUUUUAGCAGGGACGAUAAUGACGGUACCUGCAGAAAAAGCCCCGGCCAACUUCGUGCCAGCAGCCGCGGUAAUACGAAGGGGGCUAGCGUUGCUCGGAAUCACUGGGCGUAAAGCGCACGUAGGUGGGUCGUUAAGUCGGGGGUGAAAUCCCAGAGCUCAACUCUGGAACUGCCUUCGAUACUGGCGACCUUCGAGUUCGGGAGAGGUGAGUGGAACUGCGAGUGUAGAGGUGAAAUUCGUAGAUAUUCGCAAGA